rnacentral:rRNA from 1 species
UGGGGAAUUUUGGACAAUGGGCGCAAGCCUGAUCCAGCCAUGCCGCGUGAGUGAAGAAGGCCUUCGGGUUGUAAAGCUCUUUCGGCCGGGAAGAAAUCGUGUUCUCUAACAUAGGACAUGGAUGACGGUACCGGACUAAGAAGCACCGGCUAACUACGUGCCAGCAGCCGCGGUAAUACGUAGGGUGCGAGCGUUAAUCGGAAUUACUGGGCGUAAAGCGUGCGCAGGCGGUUUUAUAAGACAGAUGUGAAAUCCCCGGGCUUAACCUGGGAACUGCGGUUGUGACUGCAAGGCUGGAGUACGGCAGAGGGCGGUGGAAUUCCGCGUGUAGCAGUGAAGUGCGUAGAGAUGUGGAGGAACACCGAUGGCGAAGGCAGCCCCCUGGGCCUGUACUGACGCUCAUGCACGAAAGCGUGGGGAGCAAACA